rnacentral:sRNA from 1 species
GCCGGGUGCAGUGGCCUAUGCCUGUAAUCCAAGCAGCUCAGAGGCUGAGGCAGGAGGAUUGUGAGUUCAUAGCCAGACUCAGCAAAAGCGAGGGGCUAAGCAACUCAGUGAGACCCUGUCUCUA